AGUGAACGCUGGCGGUAGGCCUAACACAUGCAAGUCGAACGGCAGCACAGUAAGAGCUUGCUCUUACGGGUGGCGAGUGGCGGACGGGUGAGGAAUACAUCGGAAUCUACUUUUUCGUGGGGGAUAACGUAGGGAAACUUACGCUAAUACCGCAUACGACCUACGGGUGAAAGCAGGGGAUCUUCGGACCUUGCGCGAUUGAAUGAGCCGAUGUCGGAUUAGCUAGUUGGCGGGGUAAAGGCCCACCAAGGCGACGAUCCUUAGCUGGUCUGAGAGGAUGAUCAGCCACACUGGAACUGAGACACGGUCCAGACUCCUAAGGGAGGCAGCAGUGGGGAAUAUUGGACAAUGGGCGCAAGCCUGAUCCAGCCAUACCGCGUGGGUGAAGAAGGCCUUCGGGUUGUAGAGCCCUUUUGUUGGGAAAGAAAAGCAGCAGGUUAAUACCCCGCUGUUCUGACGGUACCCAAAGAAUAAGCACCGGCUAACUUCGUG
rnacentral:rRNA from 1 species